rnacentral:rRNA from 1 species
UUAAAGGUCUGCCCUUUGUACACACCGCCCGUCGCUACUACCGAUUGAAUGGUUUAGUGAGGUCUUGAGAUUGGCUUCGGGGAGCCGGCAACGGCACCUUGUUGCUGAGAACUUGAUCAAACUUGGUCAUUUAGAGGAAGUAAAAGUCGUAACAAGGUUUCCGUAGGUGAACCUGCGGAAGGAUCAUUAAUGAAUUUUGAAAGGGGUUGUAGCUGGUCUUUUCCGAGACAUGUGCACGCCCUGCUCAUCCAUUCUACCCCUGUGCACACUCUGUAGGUCGGUUUUGAAGUGAUUCCUCACGGAAUUGCUCGGGCCUUCCUAUGUUUUCAUAUAAACACUUUAAAGUCAAAGAAUGUAAUCGCGUGUAACGCAUUUAAUACAACUUUCAGCAACGGAUCUCUUGGCUCUCGCAUCGAUGAAGAACGCAGCGAAAUGCGAUAAGUAAUGUGAAUUGCAGAAUUCAGUGAAUCAUCGAAUCUUUGAACGCACCUUGCGCUCCUUGGUAUUCCGAGGAGCAUGCCUGUUUGAGUGUCAUGGAAUUCUCAACCCUCUUAUCUUUGUUAUGAGAUGGGCUUGGACUUGGAGGUUAUUGCCGGCUUGUCAUGAGUCUGGCUCCUCUUGAAUUCAUUAGCUUGAACCCUUGUGGAUCGGCUACUCGGUGUGAUAAUUGUCUACGCCGUGUGCUGUGAAGCUUUCAAACACUUUGUUGUGUUGAGGGAUUUGCUUCUAAUCGUCCUUCAAUGGACAAUUUUUGACCUCUGACCUCAAAUCAGGUAGGAUUACCCGCUGAACUUAAGCAUAUCAAUAAGCGGAGGAAAAGAAACUAACAAGGAUUCCCCUAGUAACUGCGAGUGAAGCGGGAAAAGCUCAAAUUUAAAAUCUGGCGGCUUUUGGCUGUCCGAGUUGUAGUCUGGAGAAGUGCUUUCCGCGCUGGACCGUGUACAAGUCUCUUGGAACAGAGCGUCAUAGAGGGUGAGAAUCCCGUCUUUGACACGGACUACCAGUGCUUUGUGAUGCGCUCUCAAAGAGUCGAGUUGUUGGGAAUGCA